UGCGAGACUUGGUGUGAAUUGCAGGACNCNUUGAGCACUUACUUUUCGAACGCACAUUGCGGCCUUGGGUCUUACCCGGGGCCACGUCUGUCUGAGGGUCGGAUUAUGCUUGCAGAAGGAAGUUUCUUCCUGAUUGGUUGUGCCGGAUGCUUAACUGUGUCCGCUGACCUAAGUUGUGCGAGUUUUUCGAUCCCAGCCGAGAGGUGUCCCACGAUAGGAUGUCUGAGAGCGGGAGUGGCGAAGUGCCUGCCUGCGAGCUUGGACCAGUGGUGGAUCCCUGAGCUGGGAAACUUGGAGGGAGAGUAAUUAUUUUGUCGACCUCAGAUCAGGCGAGACGACCCGCUGAAUUUAAGCAUAUAACUAAGCGGAGGAAAAGAAACCAACCAGGAUUCCCUCAGUAACGGC
rnacentral:rRNA from 1 species